GCAGAUUCGCCUUCUGGUUGAUCCUGCCGGCGCCACCGCUAUAGGAAUUCGAUUAAGACAUGUUGAGAUCUGCUAGUUUGGAUCGCGGCUCCGUUAAAUGAGGAGAAGGCCUUAAGGGGGGAAAUCUCGGGAAAUUGAGGAUAAGAGGGAGAUACAAUGAUAGCAUCUGGAAUGAGCUAUGGUUCAAAGUUCCGGCGCUUAAGGAUCGGUCUGCGGCCUAUCAGGUAGUAGUGGGUGUAAUGUACCUACUAGCCUAUGACGGGUAUGGGCCUUGAGAGAGGGAGCCCAGAGUUGGAUUCUGAGACACGAAUCCAGGCCCUACGGGGCGCAGCAGUCGCGAAAACUUCACAAUGGGGGCAACCCCGAUUUGUUUAAUUCCUAGUGCUAGCUCUUUUUGAGUUAGCUUUUCUUUAGCGUAGAUAACUAGAGGAAUAAGGCCGGGUAAGACGGGUGCCAGCCGCCGCGGUAAUACCUGCAGCCCAAGUGGUGGUCGAUUUUAUUGAGUCUAAAACGUUCGUAGCCGGUCUAAUAAAUCCUUGGGUAAAUCGGGAAGCUUAACUUUCCGAAUUCCGAGGAGACUGUUAGACUUGGGACCGGGAGA
rnacentral:rRNA from 1 species